GACGAACGCUGGCGGCGUGCCUAAUACAUGCAAGUCGAACGCACUCUCGUUUAGAUUGAAGGAGUUUGCUCCUGAUUGAUAAACAUUUGAGUGAGUGGCGGACGUGUGAGUAACACGUGGGUAACCUGCCCUAAAGUGGGGGAUAACAUUUGGAAACAGAUGCUAAUACCGCAUAAAACCUAACACCGCAUGGUGUAGGGUUUAAAGAUGGUUUCGGCUAUCACUUUAGGAUGGACCCGCGGUGCAUUAGUUAGUUGGUGAGGUAAAGGCUCACCAAGACAGUGAUGCAUAGCCGACCUGAGAGGGUAAUCGGCCACACUGGAACUGAGACACGGCCCAGACUCCUACGGGAGGCAGCAGUAGGGAAUCUUCCACAAUGGACGAAAGUCUGAUGGAGCAACGCCGCGUGAGUGAAGAAGGUUUUCGGAUCGUAAAACUCUGUUGUUGGAGAAGAAUGUAUCUGAUAGUAACUGAUCAGGUAGUGACGGUACCCAACCAGAAAGCCACGGCUAACUACGUG
rnacentral:rRNA from 1 species